rnacentral:tRNA from 1 species
GCUCCCAUGGCACAGCUGGAUAGCGCAGCCCCCUCCUAAGGGGCAGAUCACAGGUUCAAAUCCUGUUGGGAGCGCCA